rnacentral:rRNA from 1 species
AUUGAACGCUGGCGGCAGGCCUAACACAUGCAAGUCGAGCGCGAAAGGCCUUCGGGCGGAGUAGAGCGGCGGACGGGUGAGUAACGCGUAGGAAUCUACCUGGUAGUGGGGGACAACUUGGGGAGACUCAAGCUAAUACCGCAUACGCCCUAAGGGGGAAAGCGGGGGACCUUCGGGCCUCGCGCUAUCAGAUGAGCCCGCGUAGGAUUAGCUAGUUGGUGAGGUAAAGGCUCACCAAGGCGACGAUCCAUAGCUGGUCUGAGAGGAUGAUCAGCCACACUGGGACUGAGACACGGCCCAGACUCCUACGGGAGGCAGCAGUGGGGAAUAUUGCGCAAUGGGGGCAACCCUGACGCAGCCAUGCCGCGUGUGUGAAGAAGGCCUUCGGGUUGUAAAGCACUUUCAAUGGGGAAGAAAAGCGUAGCGUUAAUAGCGUUGCGCCGUGACGUUACCCAUAGAAGAAGCACCGGCUAACUCCGUGCCAGCCGCCGCCGUAAAAC